rnacentral:lncRNA from 1 species
UCAUCACUAGGGACAGCAGAGCAGACAGAAAGAACAAUUCUGCUCCAUCACUUAGACUGAUCAUGGAGUUAGGAUUCUCGAGUAAACAGGAGCAAAACCAAAUAGAACAUUUUCUUGAUCCAUUCGUCUGUUGACAAAUACCUAUACUGGUUCCGU